rnacentral:rRNA from 1 species
GAUGAACGCUGGCGGCGUGCCUAAUACAUGCAAGUCGAGCGAAUUGAUUAGAAGCUUGCUUCUAUGACGUUAGCGGCGGACGGGUGAGUAACACGUGGGCAAUCUGCCUGUAAGACUGGGAUAACUUCGGGAAACCGAAGCUAAUACCGGAUAGGAUCUUCUCCUUCACGGGAGAUGAUUGAAAGAUGGUUUCGGCUAGCACUCACAGAUGGUCGCGCGGUGCCUUAGCUAGUUGGUGAGGUAACGGCUCACCAAGGCAACGAUGCAUAGCCGACCUGGUAGGGUGAGCGGCCACACUGGGACUGAGACACGGCCCAGACUCCUACGGGAGGCAGCAGUAGGGAAGCUUCCGCAAUGGACGAAAGUCUGACGGAGCAACGCCGCGUGAGUGAUGAAGGCUUUCGGGUCGUAAAACUCUGUUGUUAGGGAAGAACAAGUACGAGAGUAACUGCCCGUACCUUGACGGUACCUAACCAGAAAGCCACGGCUAACUACGUGCCAGCCGCCGCAGUAAAAC